CGAACGGCGUAAAACGCCGGCCAUCUUCUUCUUCAACGUAUUCUCCCUUCAUCUUUUGAGGUAAGCUUGUGAUUAUGAGUUUCUUCUCUUACUUAGCUUGUAAUUAUAGAUUUUGAUUUUUUUUAAUUCGUAUUGUAGCCGUUAUUGUCAAUUUUUGUCCCGCCAGCAAUAUUUUUUUAUUCCUACAAGUUGAACCCCUGUGUUCUUGUUCCAUUGGUGAGUUUGCUCACUCAAAUUAAUUUUGUUCUGCGGAAUUUACAAAGUUCAAAUGGAUUCAUUUGAAUUACUAUUGAAUUUAGCUUUAAUUCCAACAUCCAUUCUAAUGUUUUGCAAUUAGAUUUAAUUUAAUUUUAUGUUUAAAGCUUCUACAAUGAAUAGCGGAGCUUGGGUUUUAGUUUCAUUUUCUGGAUAACUUGUUUUAGUUUAUCUUGUAUGCUCACCAAAUGCUUGUUAUAUUGUCUGAUAAGUUAUAUACAUUGCUGAUUCUACAUUAAUAAUGUUACGUUGUAUUUUCAGAAAUUAUAAUACAAAAGUUUUUGCAAUGGCGUGCAUCUACAAACUGAAUUGACUUGUAGAAUAAGAGCUCGGAGUAGUGUUAUGUUCUUGAAUAAUUGAAAGUUCAUAUUGUGUAAGAGCAUGUAGAUGUAAAGCAUCAUUACCAUUUCUACAAAGUGCUUUCAUUCUGUUCAUAUGCUCUUCUUGAACUUUGAAAGGUGCCUCGUUCAAGUCCUAGCUAUAACUACUAGCUUUGAUUAAUUAAGUUCCUAUACUAGCUGAAACAGAUUUAUUUAAUUAAUUAAUUGUGUAUGUACUAAUUAUAUUGAAAGUAUAUGAAUUUUUUUUUUAACAUGAAUGACUUCUAAAUGACUUAAAAACCUAAAGGAUGUGUGAAACAAUGCUCAUUUCAUUUGAAUGAGCCCAUUAAUACUUUUAUGUCUAUGAUUUUCAAUAUUGGCUAAAGCAUUUCAGUUAAGUGGUUUACCUAACAGAGAAAAAAAUUUAAUAGAAAACUUCAGAGUUCUAACAGAAAUAUAGUUCACUAUGCAGAUAUAGUUAUUUUACGGUAUACAAAUCAAGUUGUCCUAAUCUCAAUGUCCUAUGACCGAUUUUAUUUUAUAUAGUCAUUAAUUUUUUCCUUGGUUUUUUGUGUUUAUGAGUAUGAAAUAGUGGGAUUUGGUGUACCUUAGCAUCUUUUGAAAAUUCUCUUUCAGUGUGGCCAACAGAAAUAUACAUAUAAUCAAGUUUCUUAAUCGUGUAUAUUAGUUUUGGGUAUGAAUGUUCCUAUUCUAGUUCGAGGCAAAGCUUCUUCGUUUUGGUCUUCAGAUUUCCAGUAGGUUAAGUUAAUCAACUAUCAUAACUGGCUAGCUAGUUAUUGUCUGCCUUGGCGCCAUUACCCAGGCCAUUAUAUUGCAUAGCAUAAGGAAUAGUGAUUAGGGGAUUAUUAGUGAUUUGUUGAGCUUAUUAUCGACCAAACAAACAUAUUCGCCUUUGCCCACAACUUAGUUUGAUUAGUUAUUAGACCAUAAAGAGCCUUGAUCUAUUCAUUGGCUUUAUUAUUUUUAUUUGGUUUUUCUUUCAACAAUAUUGUUGAUUUCUUAUAAAAAUAUUCAUUGGUUUUUAAACACCUAAUCAUUGGCUAUAUGAAGCUAAUUAAAACUGAGGCUUUGGAUCAAUUUCUUCUAACAAGAUACAAAUGAGCAUUAACCUAUCUCCUAUGAGUAAAUUUUUUUAAUAUCCUUGAUUUGUAAGGAUCUGGAGGCCUGAAAUCCUCUAGAUUUUUUUUAACACUGUCAAUGUUCUUUUUAUUCUGAGAAGGAAAUAAAAGGUUUUAUCUUUCAUACCCAAAUAGUAAGCUGGCCUUGUCUUAACAUGGCCUCCCGAGGACUUGCAAGAUUCAUAGUGCCCCCCACCCCAAAAAAUAAAAAUAAAAAACACAAAUAGGAAGAUUUUGCAAGAUUCACCACCAGGUUUUUUUUAAUUUGUUAAUUGUGUGUACGUGCUAGUUAUAUGUUGAAAGAAUAGGAAGAAGUAUUUCAACAUGAAUGACUUAAAACUUAUUGCUCAGUAAACAUAAUCUGCAUGUAUUUAUCGUUUGUAUUUUUUAUGGUUUUGCUAAAGAAAUGAUAUGUGAAAUAAUGCUACAUUGCAUCAGGAAUAAAUUGAAGAGAUUUAUGAUAUUUAUGUGUUAUUCAAAUUUCAGAUUCAAUUUUAAACUUUUGAUACGUGCAUUGAAAGCUUAGACUUGUUUAAGAAAUUAUUAAUAGACACAUGUUUUUAUUAGUGUCAUCUUUGGAUGAUAGUGAGGAUCAUAUGUCUAUUAAUAAUUCUUGAAUUGUCCAGGCUUGGACAGUUUGGGAAUGCAUAGUUCACUCUGGUAGCUAGUAGCUGAAGUUUUUUCCCACGUAAAAAUGGGUUUUUCAGUAGCUGCUCCUCGUGUUCUCUGGGUACGUACUAGGUGAAUGGGUGUCAUGUGUUGUUUUGGCAUAACGCAUAAACACUUAUAUAGCUAUGUCGUGUGCUUGGAGAAUUAUAGGGAGAUGGUGCCGAAAUUUUUAUAAACGUGGAAGAAAACUUUAGGUACUUGAGAUUGAAGAAACUUAUGCAUUCUUGAGUGGGAUAUGUAGGAUUACUUACCUUUUGUAAAUAUGAAGGGAAUGUUGGAUAUAUUGGGGAUAGUGUAGGAGCUGAGUUGGAUGAAUGUAAUUGGUGAUGAUUUUGCUGAGCUGACCUUGGUUUUGAGCUUGUAAUUUUGUUUGUAAAUGGAGUGCUAUCUCCAAUGUUGGUUUAUAAAUAUGUUUCAGGACUUGCUGACCUAAUUUUUUGUUUCUAGGUUACAGGCUUUAUAUAUCUGUAAUUGAUGGCGAAGUGAAGUUCCCAGAACUUGGCGAGGAUGUUUCUUUACAGAAGGUAUUGGAAACUGUUUUUUACAUUAAUUAUUGUUGUAUAUAUACUUUGAUUUUCACAUCUUUUUCUCUGAUUCUUGUGGCUUUGCUUGCUUUCAUAUAUGUAAAUUCUAAUGAAAUUAACCAUAAAAUUGUAAAAUGAUCUUUUUAUUAUAUUGCAAAACUGUGCACACACGAAAAUAUAUUGUUUAGUAGUAGAAAUGAAGAACUAAAAUGAUUUACUUAACUAAUUUUUGUAGCGCAUUAAAAGGAGAUAGUCAUGGACAUGUGUUGGGUUGGUUUGCCAAAUAGAUAUCCAAGUCAUAUACUGAUGGGGAUGAAAAAUUUAUAGAUUUUGCAUUUGAGAAUGUUGUUGGUGGUACAAGAAUUUAAUGUCCUUUUAAGAAGUGUUGUAAUCUAUAUUUCGUUAUAAGGAAAGUGGCUGAUGAUGAUAUGGUUGGAAUGAUACAAUGCAUCACGUAAUCAAAUGUUCAAGUUACACGGAGCAUUGUUAUGGACUAUCAGUGACUUUCUAGCAUUGCCAACUUGUCUGGGUGGAGUAUUAAAGGUAAAUAAGCAUGUCUUGUUUGCCAACAAAACACUAGAUCUAAUUGGUUGAUACAUAGUAGAAAAUUUUGUCACGUGGGUCACCGUCGAUUUUUACCAACAAAUCAUAGGUUUCGAAAAUAUAGUGUCUUUUGAUAAAACUAGAGAGUAGGGACCAGCACAUUCUCGGUUGUCUGGAUCUGAAGUGAAAAAGCAGUUUAAUAUACUUACUGAGUAUAAGAUUGAAGACUUGAAAAUAGGAGAAUGAAUAAAAUGAGAGAAAUGAUAAGAUUACUUGGAAGAAGAAAAGCAUAUUUUAUGAACUACCGUGUUGGGAGUUCAAUUUGAUUCAUCAUAAUCUUGAUCUCAUGGGCUGUUUUGAUUUUUGUUAUGAACUCAGAUCAAAAGUUUAAUGUGAUCAAAAUUUCUUAAAAAUAGUGAAAACGACUCCUAAUAAUAUGGAAGAUGGCUAUAAAAGAUAAAAGGAAAGGCUUAAAAAGAAAAGCCAUGCCUGUCCAAAAAAAAAAAAAAUCAACAAAAAUCAAAACGGUGCGUUUGAGAGUGUAUAAAAUACAUUUAGAGUGGGAGUUGUGUUGUUGCUUGAAGGCAGAAAGAUAUUUGUCGACGAAGCCAAAACCAAAGAUGAAGCCCAUAAAGCUCAAAACUCCACCGGAGCAAAUUCAGACAAUUACGAGGGUUAUGUUUGACAUAGUCAAGGAAGACGGUCCUCUCACCGUUGCCGAAACUUGGGAACGCGUCAAGGUGUGUGUAUCUGUUAAAUUGAAUUUCAACCGUUUGAUCUGUAAUUAUAAUUAAUCCAAUCGAUCUGACAGUGAUCACUGACCAUAAUACUAGUAGUUGUUUUACAUUUUCAGCAGGCUAGAGCGGGUGGAUUGACGGGCAAAAGCUCAGGCUCGUCUGCAAUCACAUGGGCCCUCAUAAGCAAAUCCUGUACACAACUUGGUUCACUAAACCCAACAACUUGAAGCAGCCAAAAUCAGGGAAUGAUCCUUCUCCGUCACAACCCUAGCUGCCUUAACCUUGUAGUGACACGGUGAAGAUGGAAGCCCCUCAGCAUGUAAACUUUUCAACAGCGACAGAGCUCUUAUUCCAGAGGCUGCACAGAAGAGCGACCUGAAUCCUCUUCAAAACUUUCAAAUUUUUAUCAAGUAAAGCUUUCAAAAUUUCUCAACAAACUGAUUAUUUGGUGUGGUUGCCACAUUUUGUGCAACUGCUAUUCGUCUUCAAGUACAAAUUCCUUGCCUUCUAAGUUAGGGAACAUAGAUGUGGAGCAAACAGGGAAAUAGAUGUGGAGCAAACAGGGAAACAGCAAUGAUGGCAAUUAACAAACUAAUAGCAGUAUUACAUUUGAUUCUUUAGCCCAAUUUUGUUCCUUCUGUCAGCCAUUCUUCAAAAGUUUUUGAAAAUUAGAUGUGAAGCAAAAAAAAAACAAAUUUAGACAACAGAAGCCCUGUGCUCAACAUCAUAUAUAUACCUUGAAUACCUAAUAUACUAAAUUUCACAUAUAAAAUACUAGAGAUUUCAAACAGUACCAGCAAUAGAAUAAUGACAACGACAACAAUAACAGAAAAUUACAAGAUUGCUGACAAAAUUUAUGUGAUUUACUGUGCCUUUAUGCAUGCAAAAUGAAACUGAAGAUAAAAAAUUUAGGGAAAAGGACACAGAGACCCCCAACGUUUGAAUAAGGGACACAAAAUCCCUUAAUGUUUCAAAAAAGACACUCAGACCCCCAUUUGUUAACAUUAAAUUAUAAUUUUACCAUUGUACCCUUAUAGCAUAUUAAAAAAUAAUUAUUCAUUAUCCAAUUUAUUUCUAUAUUAUUAAUAAAAUUACGAAUAUAACUUCAUUACUCAAUUUUUCCAUUUAAUUUUUAUCAAAUUUUAUCUUCAAACUAAAUAAAUUUAAUCCAUUGCUCAAAAAUAAAAAUAAAUUAAAUUGAUUAUUAAUAUAAUAAAAAUAACAAUUCUCCAUAUGUUAUUUCUUAUAAUUUCUUAUAUAUAAAUUAAAUUGAUAAUUUCUUAAAAAUAACAAUUCUCCAUAUAUAAAUUAAAUUUAUUUUAAUUUAAUAUAUGUUAUUUUUAUAUUAAAUAUAUGUUAUUUUUAUUAUAUUAGUAAUCAAUUUAAUUUAUUUUUAUUCUUGAGUAAUGGAUUAAAUUUAUUUAGUUUGAAGAGAAAAUUUGACAAAAAUUAAAUGGAAAAAUUGGAUAAUGAAGUUAUAUUCGUAAUUUUAUUAAUAAUAUAGGAAUAAAUUGAACAAUGAACAAUUAUUUUUUAAUAUGCUAUGAGGGUAUAAUGGUAAAAUUAUAAUUUACUGUUAACAAAUGGGGGUCUCAGUGUUUUUUUUGAAACAUUAGGGGUUUUGUGUCCCUUAUUCAAACGUUGGGGGUCUCUGUGUCCUUUUCCCAAAAAUUUAUAAACUAGAAAUUUAUAAUAAUCUAACUUAUUCUCGUUACUAUUAAAAAAUAAGUAAACAUAUCAAUAACAAUAUAGUUUAUUAUGAUUAUAAUUCAUUCAAUUAAAAUAAAUAAUUUAUUCUUAUUUCUAUUCUCUAUUCUAAUUUCAGUAAAUUUUGAUUUUAGUUUAUUUUAAUUAUUGAUUAGUUGUAAACUUAACUGGAAAUUUAUUGCAUAUAUUACGAGAAGCAGUACACACCAAUGGUAAAUUGAUACAUCGUUUUUGAGCUUAAGAUAGUCAAAUGAAAGAAACACAACGUAGGGUUCAUGAAACACUUUCAAAGCUGCUGAUGACUUAAAGUGAAUAACCUCAGCAUGUAAACUUAACUUCAAAGGACGGAGCACAAGUUUCACAGAAAAACAGCUCUUAUUUCUGAUGCUGCGAACACAGAGGAGUGACCUCAAUCUUCUUCAUCACUUGGGAAUUCUGCAAUUAUAGAGCACGACAUUGAGCAUGAACUAGAAAAAAUAUUUAUUUUCUACAAUUUUCAUAUAACCUCACUAACCAAGAUUAAUUUUGUGGUAAUGUAUUGGGUCAUUAAUUCAUAUGUUUUUACUGUCAUCACUUUAGAAAAAACUAAUUUCUCAAUGUGAAAUGGCCCAUAAAAGGUAUUCUCAUUUAAAAACUAAAUUUGACAAACCCCUCGAUUAAAGCAGGGGAGAGAAAAGAAAAAAAAAAAGAUCUGAAGGCUUUCCACAUGAAAAUGUUGUCACUUUGGAUGAUAUUUUCAAGGGAUUUCAUUCUAAAAAUAAAAUACCUGGGACCUUAUUCUUCAAAUUGACAGCUCGCCCAGUACUAAACGCGUAUGAGAUCAGUACUGGGACAAGUAACGAGACGACCCCUCCAACAGCUGAAAAUAAAAUUCGCAUUCAUCAAUUUAAAUUGAAAUUCAUAUUAUGAAAUUAAAACUAAUGAUUAAUGAAUUUUCAAGGAAUUUAAUAAGAUUCUCAUAUAUAAACGUGAUAAAAAAUUCACUCAUCAAUAACAAAUAUUCUAACAUUUUGUUGAUGUAAUUGUUGUAUGGUUGUGUUAAGGUCAUUAUUAGACCAACGCAGUUUGUCAUCACUCAUUCCGUACCAGACGUUUACUCUCGGAGGCGUGAUUGAUUCUCCUUUGGUGAAAUCUUCAUCUUCGGACAACCAAUCACAGUAAGAUAUUCCAAAGAUGGGAAUUUGAAGGCGUAAUUGCCAGAGGAGAAGCUUGUGAGACUAUCUAAAUCAAACAGGGACAACGUAGUCAGUUUGCUGAAAACAAUCUCUUCUUUUAAAUAUGCUGUUUCAUUUCAAGACUGGCAAAAUUCAUUGUGUAAUCAAAGUUUUCAAUGAUCCAACUAAUAUAUAUAUAUAUGUAUGUAUAUUCCUUCUCUAGUGCAGACAUUCUCAUUUUUUUUUUUCAUGUGGACCAGUUUUUAGAUCCCCUGGUUUAAAAGAGUUAGUUUUUAACUCUUUAAAACCGCAUGGCUUCAUAAUUUAUUUAAAAACUAACUCUCUUAAACCGCACGGUUUAAAAGCGUGUCCACAUUAAAAAAAAAAUACGGACCCCCACACCUGAGAAUGAUUAUAUAUAUAUAUAUAUAUAUAUAUAGACACACGCUCUUAAACCGUGGGAUUUGAAAGCUUCUCCGCAUGAAGAAAGUAAAAAAUAAGGGCAUUCCCACUAGAAACAAACUCCAUAUAGGUAUUUAUUAAACCUCCUGAUCUGUGAGUGAGGAACAACAAAUAUAAUUGAUAAAAAAAAUCUAAAAUUUGGUUUCAUACCUUCUUGAACGAGAACAGGGUUGUUGUGCCGGAAUACCAAAUUGAUCAUUCUCGUUAUUCUGGGACAACGUUAUUUUAUCACAAUUACAGGCCUCCAAUGUUUUUUAGUGCUGGCCAUUCUGAAGUAUGCAUUCCAGGGUAUAAACAUCCGAGUUCUGGUAGACCUUCGAGAUUCAGAGUGGUCACUUGUGGAAAGACAAAAUAUGGGGUCACUUGAUCUGCUCUGUCUUUGGAGAUGAUCUCUUGUAAACCCAUACAUAUCCGUAUCUCCAGGUGUUGGAGGUGCUCAAGGCUUUGGAUCAUAGAAGCUGAAAAUAUGUAUUUUAAUUUGUCACAGCCCCACACUAUCAAUCGUGUCAAACUUUGAAAGCCGCAAGUUGAUUGUCAUGCAAAAUCUCGUCGACAUUAAUAGCAUUCAGCUCCAAAGCCUCCAAAUUUGGCAACACUACCUGAAGAUAAUUUUCUCUUUAGAUCCAAUAUCCGUAUGGAAAGCACUUGUUUUGACACAAUAUCCAUAUAAGAAGCACUUAAUUAAGAGCUUAAUUAGCGAGUGUAUGAGACUUUUUUUUUUUCAAAUGCCAGUGCAUGAUAGAACUAAAAAAAAAAAAGAAGCAUUAGCCUACGUACCUUCUCGUUGAAAAGCAGAGUUGACGUUUCCGAACUGAUCUCGUUGGAACUGGCUGUCAAUUCCUCUUGCGACUCUUGUCUGUUUGGUGAUGUGGAAGAAGUCUUCACUUCACCGCAAAACCUUGUAACCUUUGGAAGCUUUCCCAGACUCAAAGAUCUUAAUUGACCAAACUCUAUCUUCCCAUCAACAUCAACAUCAGCUUCUCCUCCAGUUGCAAAAAUCUCUUCCAUGCUGCUGCAAUUGAUAACUGCAAUCCUCUCCAGUCUUGGAAGGCAUUUUGUACUACUAGAGAGCCAGAAGAUAUUACUCAACUCAUCACAAUUUUCUACUUUUAUGGUUUUGAGUUCAUUGAAGGACUCUAUUUGAGUCGAUCAAUACAUAUCCUCUCCAUAUUGAUCAAAUUUUGAAGAGUAUGGGACUCCAAAAGAGGAAAGGCGACACAUGGUUCUCUCUCCAUUGAAUCGACGAUACACAGGAAGUCUGGAUUAUUUUGAACAUGGAGAUGCUUCAAUUGUGAAAAGCCCUCAGUGUCCAAUUCUAAAACAACAUUCUUGAUUCCUUGCAACUUAUCCAAACAUAAGUAUUCAACGUUAUUGAUGCGCUGCAACUUCUCGGAGCAAAUGGCCAUAGAAUCAAGCUUGAGCUUCAAUGUUCUUAAACUCUCAUGAUUACUGAUCAUAAAGUGCUGCCGACUUCAAACCAAUCAUUCUCAAUAACCAGGGUAGAGUCGAAUGAUGCAUCUCCUAUUGAUAUAUCAAACCUUUCCAGCUUUUUGGAAAAAAAGCCAUCCGGUAAAAUGCUAUCAUUUUUAACAUCUAUCUAAGGUGGUCAAUCGCCUCAUAUGCAUCAAUUCGUCGAGGGUGGCAUUACUUCUUUCACUAUUGGCCUUUUCAACUUCCCAUUCAAUAGGGGAAUUACCCAUAUACAGUUCUUCCAAUCGAGUGAAGCUUGAUAAGACGUUGGGCACAAUAAAUUUUAGUUGCAAAACAAUCUGUUAAAUCUAACAGCCUUAACUUAGUCAGUUGACCUAGUUCGCCAGGCAACCGUACAAUAUCAGAAUUUAAAAAGCUAAGGAUUUCUAGAUUCUUCAACUUUCCAAUUAUGGCUAUGUCUCCCAACAUGCUUUGAUCUAGACAGAGUGUUUGAAGAUUGCUAGAAGACCGAUUGAAGAUGGCAAUGAAAAUAAUCGCAUUCGUGUCAAAUCUACAACUCGAAGCUUUUUCAGCCUUUGAAAAUGUUGUCAGGAAUAUUGACCUCAACAAAAAGUGUUUGGGAAAUAUGUAAAAAUUCAAGUUGCAGACAUUCAAAUUCCUCAGAAACUUCAUGAAUGCUACUAUUUAGUAAAAGAGAUUGCAUAGCAUUUUUUAAGUGCAUCCUCAUCUGGCCACUCCCACACAGCCUCAUUUCUCACCAAUAAAGCAUGUUGGUCUCGAUUUAAACUUUAACUCAAUUUGAAAAACUGAGCAAGUAUGCGUUACAGGAAAUCAAAAAAGCUCCACAUACCCAGAUCAUGAUCUCACGUUGAAUCCAGGUGGGAGAUAUAUUUAUGAUCAAGCCCAACAAUCGAAGGGGGCAAAAAAAAAAAAAAAAAAAAAAAUCUACCAGACAUAUGAUCAUAUUGACCACGAGCUUCAUACGCCGUGGAUUUAUUAACAAAAGUGGAAUUAAUUAAUCAUGAGCAUGUGUUCUAGUUAAGUCAAAAGAGAACUUAAUUAAGAACGCAUAUAUAAUUCAUAAUCAGCACAUAAAAAAUCACUAGUGCUUGCCCCUCCUGCCCUUGCCGUGCUUGCCGUGCUUGCCCCUGCCCUUGCUCUUUCCAUGCUGGUAGUAGCCGCCGUGCUUGCCGUGUGUGUAUGCACCGUGAGCUCCAGGAUAUGCGUUAUUAUCUGCAACAAAAUAAGAAAUUAAAUCAUAAGGCUUAUAAUUAGCUCGCUCGCUAAGAGUGAUUAAAAUAAUACCGUGCGGAACGGAUGGGCCAGGAUAUCCCGUUGGUGUGUAACCACUGGCGAGUGCUGCUCCUGUAGGCGGGUAGCCGGCACCGGCUGGGCAGCAUGAUCAGCACCUUCCAUGAUUUUGAUGAUCACCUAAUAAAUAAUAACUUGGUCCAAAAUAAACAACAAUAAAUAAUUGUGAUUAAUAAAAAGUAAUAUAUUCUCUAAUUAAAAACAUUAAUGAUCAUUGGAGAGCAAGCGAGAAAUACUUACUGAAUGCGAUGGGACAGACAACAUCAUGCAUAGAGAAUUGUUCAUCUUCAACGAAUUUGGCUGCCCGGUCAAUGAUGCCGUUAGCACUAACCAGCCACUUCUCAACCUUCUCUUCAAUCUCUUCCCCUUUUUCUUUUGCCUCUGAAACUCUGCGCCGAAUGCUCGUACGUUCAACCUUCAACUUCUCCAUUUCCGUCUUGAGAUUCUCAAGGUGGCAUUGUAGUUCCGCUUGCGCAAAUAAACAAGUUGGCGUUCUGUUGAGGAGCCAAGCAUUUACAAGUUCCAAAACGAGAGUAACAAUGAUUUCCAGCAUCUUGAAUCCUGACAACAAUGUAGAAGUGAAGAAGGCCAAAGGACAGUCAAAACAGAGAGACAGCGUUACGACAACAGUUAUGAGCUAAAAAUAAAUAACAAACAAACAGAAGCAAAGUGUUUUUCGAAUGAGAAGAAGGAAGCAAGAAAAACUUAAAACUAGUAUAAUAAAUUUAUACUAAAACUAGUAUAGUAAAACAAGAAGUCAAGAACCAGCAACUUUUACACACAAAAUAAAACCUUAAAACUAGUAUAAUAAAUUUAUCAUCAAGUUGCAGCCUUCUUAUUCAACAAUUACAGCAUUAUCUUGAGCUCUGUGUUUCUUUUUUUAAAAAUUAUUCAAAAAAAUCUGCAUUUUUUUUCAACGAUAAAAAUUAUAUUUUUGUCUCAUAUAAUAUAAAAUUAAAAAAAAAACAAACAUAUAUUAAAGGUCUGUUUGGGAUUAUUUUUAGAGGCUCAAAAGUAAUUUUUUAAAAAGUUAAAUGCUAAUUUUGGUAUUUAAUAAAAUUUUUAGAAGUCACCUUUGGUAAAAUCAUCAAUCCUACAACAAAUUUUGAAAGCAAAUAGUUUUUCAAAUUUUUAUUUUGAUAAUUAAUUUUAUACUUAAUAUAAUUCCAUAUACAUCCCUACAUAUAUUAAUUAUCCUUAUUAAUUAGAAAAUAAAAUUAUUAACUUUAAAGAUAUUAUCAACAAUUACAUUGAGAUAACAAACUAAAAAUAAAAUUAAUAAUAUAAAAUAUUUAUUUUAGUAAUCAAUUAUUAUACUUACAAGAUAAAAAAUAUUUUAUUUAAAUGUUUAUAAAUGUACAAAUAAAUUUUAUUUAAUAUUAUAUUCAAUUUAGUCAUUUACAUUGUCAAUAGGACUUCUAAAAAUAAAUUUUCCUAAAUGUUUAACUAAUUCUCUUCAUAGUGAUUAUUUNUUUUAUUAUAUUAGUAAUCAAUUUAAUUUAUUUUUAUUCUUGAGUAAUGGAUUAAAUUUAUUUAGUUUGAAGAGAAAAUUUGACAAAAAUUAAAUGGAAAAAUUGGAUAAUGAAGUUAUAUUCGUAAUUUUAUUAAUAAUAUAGGAAUAAAUUGAACAAUGAACAAUUAUUUUUUAAUAUGCUAUGAGGGUAUAAUGGUAAAAUUAUAAUUUACUGUUAACAAAUGGGGGUCUCAGUGUUUUUUUUGAAACAUUAGGGGGUUUUGUGUCCCUUAUUCAAACGUUGGGGGUCUCUGUGUCCUUUUCCCAAAAAUUUAUAAACUAGAAAUUUAUAAUAAUCUAACUUAUUCUCGUUACUAUUAAAAAAUAAGUAAACAUAUCAAUAACAAUAUAGUUUAUUAUGAUUAUAAUUCAUUCAAUUAAAAUAAAUAAUUAUUCUUAUUUCUAUUCUCUAUUCUAAUUUCAGUAAAUUUUGAUUUUAGUUUAUUUUAAUUAUUGAUUAGUUGUAAACUUAACUGGAAAUUUAUUGCAUAUAUUACGAGAAGCAGUACACACCAAUGGUAAAUUGAUACAUCGUUUUUGAGCUUAAGAUAGUCAAAUGAAAGAAACACAACGUAGGGUUCAUGAAACACUUUCAAAGCUGCUGAUGACUUAAAGUGAAUAACCUCAGCAUGUAAACUUAACUUCAAAGGACGGAGCACAAGUUUCACAGAAAAACAGCUCUUAUUUCUGAUGCUGCGAACACAGAGGAGUGACCUCAAUCUUCUUCAUCACUUGGGAAUUCUGCAAUUAUAGAGCACGACAUUGAGCAUGAACUAGAAAAAAUAUUUAUUUUCUACAAUUUUCAUAUAACCUCACUAACCAAGAUUAAUUUUUGUGGUAAUGUAUUGGGUCAUUAAUUCAUAUGUUUUUACUGUCAUCACUUUAGAAAAAACUAAUUUCUCAAUGUGAAAUGGCCCAUAAAAGGUAUUCUCAUUUAAAAACUAAAUUUGACAAACCCCUCGAUUAAAGCAGGGAGAGAAAAGAAAAAAAAAAGAUCUGAAGGCUUUCCACAUGAAAAUGUUGUCACUUUGGAUGAUAUUUUCAAGGGAUUUCAUCUAAAAAAUAAAUACCUGGGACCUUAUUCUUCAAAUUGACAGCUCGCCCAGUACUAAACGCGUAUGAGAUCAGUACUGGGAAAGUAACGAGACGACCCUCCAACAGCUGAAAAUAAAAUUCGCAUUCAUCAAUUUAAAUUGAAAUUCAUAUUAUGAAAUUAAAACUAAUGAUUAAUGAAUUUUCAAGGAAUUUAAUAAGAUUCUCAUAUAUAAACGUGAUAAAAAAUUCACUCAUCAAUAACAAAUAUUCUAACAUUUUGUUGAUGUAAUUGUUGUAUGGUUGUGUUAAGGUCAUUAUUAGACCAACGCAGUUUGUCAUCACUCAUUCCGUACCAGACGUUUACUCUCGGAGGCGUGAUUGAUUCUCCUUUGGUGAAAUCUUCAUCUUCGGACAACCAAUCACAGUAAGAUAUUCCAAAGAUGGGAAUUUGAAGGCGUAAUUGCCAGAGGAGAAGCUUGUGAGACUAUCUAAAUCAAACAGGGACAACGUAGUCAGUUUGCUGAAAACAAUCUCUUCUUUUAAAUAUGCUGUUUCAUUUCAAGACUGGCAAAAUUCAUUGUGUAAUCAAAGUUUUCAAUGAUCCAACUAAUAUAUAUAUAUAUGUAUGUAUAUAUUCCUUCUCUAGUGCAGACAUUCUCAUUUUUUUUUUUUCAUGUGGACCAGUUUUUAGAUCCCCUGGUUUAAAAGAGUUAGUUUUUAAACUCUUUAAAACCGCAUGGCUUCAUAAUUUAUUUAAAAACUAACUCUCUUAAACCGCACGGUUUAAAAGCGUGUCCACAUUAAAAAAAAAUACGGACCCCACACCUGAGAAUGAUUAUAUAUAUAUAUAUAUAUAUAUAGACACACGCUCUUAAACCGUGGGAUUUGAAAGCUUCUCCAUGAAGAAAGUAAAAAAUAAGGGCAUUCCCACUAGAAACAAACUCCAUAUAGGUAUUUAUUAAACCUCCUGAUCUGUGAGUGAGGAACAACAAAUAUAAUUGAUAAAAAAAAUCUAAAAUUUGGUUUCAUACCUUCUUGAACGAGAACAGGGGUUGUUGUGCCGGAAUACCAAAUUGAUCAUUCUCGUUAUUCUGGGACAACGUUAUUUUAUCACAAUUACAGGCCUCCAAUGUUUUUUAGUGCUGGCCAUUCUGAAGUAUGCAUUCCAGGGUAUAAACAUCCGAGUUCUGGUAGACCUUCGAGAUUCAGAGUGGUCACUUGUGGAAAGACAAAAUAUGGGGUCACUUGAUCUGCUCUGUCUUUGGAGAUGAUCUCUUGUAAACCCAUACAUAUCCGUAUCUCCAGGUGUUGGAGGUGCUCAAGGCUUUGGAUCAUAGAAGCUGAAAAUAUGUAUUUUAAUUUGUCACAGCCCCACACUAUCAAUCGUGUCAAACUUUGAAAGCCGCAAGUUGAUUGUCAUGCAAAAUCUCGUCGACAUUAAUAGCAUUCAGCUCCAAAGCCUCCAAAUUUGGCAACUACCUGAAGAUAAUUUUCUCUUUAGAUCCAAUAUCCGUAUGGAAAGCACUUGUUUUGACACAAUAUCCAUAUAAGAAGCACUUAAUUAAGAGCUUAAUUAGCGAGUGUAUGAGACUUUUUUUUUUUUCAAAUGCCAGUGCAUGAUAGAACUAAAAAAAAAAAAGAAGCAUUAGCCUACGUACCUUCUCGUUGAAAAGCAGAGUUGACGUUUCCGAACUGAUCUCGUUGGAACUGGCUGUCAAUUCCUCUUGCGACUCUUGUCUGUUUGGUGAUGUGGAAGAAGUCUUCACUUCACCGCAAAACCUUGUAACCUUUGGAAGCUUUCCCAGACUCAAAGAUCUUAAUUGACCAAACUCUAUCUUCCCAUCAACAUCAACAUCAGCUUCUCCUCCAGUUGCAAAAAUCUCUUCCAUGCUGCUGCAAUUGAUAACUGCAAUCCUCUCCAGUCUUGGAAGGCAUUUUGUACUACUAGAGAGCCAGAAGAUAUUACUCAACUCAUCACAAUUUUCUACUUUUAUGGUUUUGAGUUCAUUGAAGGACUCUAUUUUGAGUCGGAUCAAUACAUAUCCUCUCCAUAUUGAUCAAAUUUUGAAGAGUAUGGGACUCCAAAAGAGGAAAGGCGACACAUGGUUCUCUCUCCAUUGAAUCGACGAUACACAGGAAGUCUGGAUUAUUUUGAACAUGGAGAUGCUUCAAUUGUGAAAAGCCCUCAGUGUCCAAUUCUAAAACAACAUUCUUGAUUCCUUGCAACUUAUCCAAACAUAAGUAUUCAACGUUAUUGAUGCGCUGCAACUUCUCGGAGCAAAUGGCCAUAGAAUCAAGCUUGAGCUUCAAUGUUCUUAAACUCUCAUGAUUACUGAUCAUAAAGUGCUGCCGACUUUCAAACCAAUCAUUCUCAAUAACCAGGGUAGAGUCGAAUGAUGCAUCUCCUAUUGAUAUAUCAAACCUUUCCAGCUUUUUGGAAAAAAAGCCAUCCGGUAAAAUUGCUAUCAUUUUUAACAUCUAUCUAAGGUGGUCAAUCGCCUCAUAUGCAUCAAUUCGUCGAGGGUGGCAUUACUUCUUUCACUAUUGGCCUUUUCAACUUCCCAUUCAAUAGGGAAUUACCCAUAUACAGUUCUUCCAAUCGAGUGAAGCUUGAUAAGACGUUGGGCACAAUAAAUUUUAGUUGCAAACAAUCUGUUAAAUCUAACAGCCUUAACUUAGUCAGUUGACCUAGUUCGCCAGGCAACCGUACAAUAUCAGAAUUUAAAAAGCUAAGGAUUUCUAGAUUCUUCAAACUUUCCAAUUAUGGCUAUGUCUCCCAACAUGCUUUGAUCUAGACAGAGUGUUUGAAGAUUUGCUAGAAGACCGAUUGAAGAUGGCAAUGAAAAUAAUCGCAUUCGUGUCAAAUCUACAACUCGAAGCUUUUUCAGCCCUUUGAAAAUGUUGUCAGGAAUAUUGACCUCAACAAAAGUGUUUUGGGAAAUAUGUAAAAAUUCAAGUUGCAGACAUUCAAAUUCCUCAGAAACUUCAUGAAUGCUACUAUUUAGUAAAGAGAUUGCAUAGCAUUUUUUUAAGUGCAUCCUCAUCUGGCCACUCCCACACAGCCUCAUUUCUCACCAAUAAAGCAUGUUGGUCUCGAUUUAAACUUUAACUCAAUUUGAAAAACUGAGCAAGUAUGCGUUACAGGAAAUCAAAAAAGCUCCACAUACCCAGAUCAUGAUCUCACGUUGAAUCCAGGUGGGAGAUAUAUUUAUGAUCAAGCCCAACAUCGAAGGGGGCAAAAAAAAAAAAAAAAAAAAAUCUACCAGACAUAUGAUCAUAUUGACCACGAGCUUCAUACGCCGUGGAUUUAUUAACAAAAAGUGGGAAUUAAUUAAUCAUGAGCAUGUGUUCUAGUUAAGUCAAAAGAGAGACUUAAUUAAGAACGCAUAUAUAAUUCAUAAUCAGCACAUAAAAAGAUCACUAGUGCUUGCCCCUCCUGCCCUUGCCGUGCUUGCCGUGCUUGCCCCUGCCCUUGCUCUUUCCAUGCUGGUAGUAGCCGCCGUGCUUGCCGUGUGUGUAUGCACCGUGAGCUCCAGGAUAUGCGUUAUUAUCUGCAACAAAAUAAGAAAUUAAAUCAUAAGCUUAUAAUUAGCUCGCUCGCUAAGAGUGAUUAAAAUAAUACCGUGCGGAACGGAUGGGCCAGGAUAUCCCGUUGGUGUGUAACCACUGGCGAGUGCUGCUCCUGUAGGCGGGUAGCCGGCACCGGCUGGGGCAGCAUGAUCAGCACCUUCCAUGAUUUUGAUGAUCACCUAAUAAAUAAUAACUUGGUCCAAAAUAAACAACAAUAAAUAAUUGUGAUUAAUAAAAAGUAAUAUAUUCUCUAAUUAAAACAUUAAUGAUCAUUGGAGAGCAAGCGAGAAAUACUUACUGAAUGCGAUGGGACAGACAACAUCAUGCAUAGAGAAUUGUUCAUCUUCAACGAAUUUGGCUGCCCGGUCAAUGAUGCCGUUAGCACUAACCAGCCACUUCUCAACCUUCUCUUCAAUCUCUUCCCCUUUUUCUUUUGCCUCUGAAACUCUGCGCCGAAUGCUCGUACGUUCAACCUUCAACUUCUCCAUUUCCGUCUUGAGAUUCUCAAGGUUGGCAUUGUAGUUCCGCUUGCGCAAAUAAACAAGUUGGCGUUCUGUUGGAGGAGCCAAGCAUUUUACAAGUUCCAAAACGAGAGUAACAAUGAUUUCCAGCAUCUUGAAUCCUGACAACAAUGUAGAAGUGAAGAAGGCCAAAGGACAGUCAAAACAGAGAGACAGCGUUACGACAAGCAGUUAUGGAGCUAAAAAUAAAUAACAAACAAACAGAAGCAAAGUGUUUUUCGAAUGAGAAGAAGGAAGCAAGAAAAACUUAAAACUAGUAUAAUAAAUUUAUACUAAAACUAGUAUAGUAAAACAAGAAGUCAAGAACCAGCAACUUUUACACACAAAAUAAAACCUUAAAACUAGUAUAAUAAAUUUAUCAUCAAGUUGCAGCCUUCUUAUUCAACAAUUACAGCAUUAUCUUGAGCUCUGUGUUUCUUUUUUUAAAAAUUAUUCAAAAAAAUCUGCAUUUGUUUUUCAACGAUAAAAAUUAUAUUUUUGUCUCAUAUAAUAUAAAAUUAAAAAAAAAAACAAACAUAUAUUAAAGGUCUGUUUGGGAUUAUUUUUAGAGGCUCAAAAGUAAUUUUAAAAAGUUAAAUGCUAAUUUUGGUAUUUAAUAAAAUUUUUAGAAGUCACCUUUGGUAAAAUCAUCAAUCCUACAACAAAUUUUGAAAGCAAAUAGUUUUUCAAAUUUUUAUUUUGAUAAUUAAUUUUAUACUUAAUAUAAUUCCAUAUACAUCCCUACAUAUAUUAAUUAUCCUUAUUAAUUAGAAAAUAAAAUUAUUAACUUUAAAGAUAUUAUCAACAAUUACAUUGAGAUAACAAACUAAAAAUAAAAUUAAUAAUAUAAAAUAUUUAUUUUAGUAAUCAAUUAUUAUACUUACAAGAUAAAAAAUAUUUUAUUUAAAUGUUUAUAAAUGUACAAAUAAAUUUUAUUUAAUAUUAUAUUCAAUUUAGUCAUUUACAUUGUCAAUAGGACUUCUAAAAAUAAAUUUUCCUAAAUGUUUAACUAAUUCUCUUCAUAGUGAUUAUUUCCAAACAUAACUACCAAAAAUUACUAUAAUAGAUACAACAUUACCAAAAAAAUAUUGAGAUAGAUUUUAAUUAGGUAAUUGACUUAAUUAUGAAUCAAUUUAUUAUUUCCAUAUGUGUUAUCAAAACCAGCUCAAUAAUGAGAUCACUCUUUUUCUUAAAUAAAAAUAUUUGUGCCAAACAAUUGUUGCAAAAUUUCAAAUAUAAAUUACAAACAACAAAAUUUUCUAAAAUCAUAACAAUAAUUUAUGUUGUGAAUACAUGUAACUAAACCACAUUGAAAUUUUAUUGUUAGUAAAAUUGUUUUUCACGCAAAUGCAGUGACGGAUUCAGUUUCAUGUUUCACCCUCAAUAACUUAAUUUUCAUAUCUAACAAAUCAUCCAUAUUAUUAACAAUAUCAUCACCAAACAUAAUCUACCUAAACAUAAACUAAACAUAACACAUACAUAUAACUAUAUACAUACCGAAUCAGGAAAACAAUGAAAGCUACACGUAUCCGGCUCUACAAUUCCUUCUUGAUACCCUUGUGCUUCUGAAAUAAUCAACCAAUUAUAAAAAUUAGCUUAGGCGCAACUUUACCCCUUUUUUGGAAAACUUAACGAUAAAUAAAGUAUACAAAUCUCUAAAUUAACUUCGUCCCCAUGAAAUUCAGCAUAAAUAGAAAUAGAAUUAUAGAAACCUUACUACCUUUUAUGAGAAAUCCAACUUAUAUAUUUGAGACCUCUCUCUCUAAACACGCGCUUCCUCUCUCUGUACACUUUCCACCUUUGAAUUUUCCUUCACUAAGUCUACCUAAAUGAAUUUAGCAUUCUUCCAGUUUCUUUAGCAUUUUUUCUCCGUGAAAAUAGGUGAAAAAGAGAAAGUGGUUUGAUUAUUUUAAUGUAUGACAGAUCUGGUUUCCAUCUCUGUAAUUUAAGUUUGUCAAAACGAGAUAAUCAACUCUUUGUCGAGUCAGUCAAAUAUAAAAGACAAAUUACUAAACCAAGCAGAGCCCAAAAAAAAAUAUUUCCAAUUAAAUAAUCAUCAAGUCUUUUUCAAUUAAAUUAGGGAGUGCAGAACAACUGUCGAGAGAUAAUCAUUGUUUAUGGAGCCAUAUUAUAUUUUCGAUUAAAAUAGUUGCGCGUGAACAAUUGGCAGAAUUCGUAUAAAUUGUUGUCAGGUCUAUUAUAAUUAACAAGCGGAAUGGCCAAUGGAUGAAGAACCACUGUAAUUUCGUUUAUGAAUUCAAAAUGCUAAAGAAACUGGACAUCAACGCUAAAUGUCAGCCUGCGGCCCUUGCCUCAGUGUCUUUCAGGCGUUACUCUGGGUAGUUGAUAUACUGACCGUCCCUUUAUCAAUUAAUAAUCGAAAUAGGUUAAAAUAUGAAUGGAUUGGAAUGGUAUGACUUGGAAUUAAAAUAUGGAAUGACGAUUAGAUUAAUUAAUUUAUUUAAAUUGAGAAAUUAGAAUCAUAAUAAAUUAUAUUGUUAUUGAUGUAUUUGUUUUAUCUUAAAAUUGCGAUGAGUUGUUACAAAUUACUAAUAUGCCUUUGAUUUUGUAUUAUGAUAAUUAUUAUUUAUUAUAACAUUUGUCAUAUAAUAAUAAUAAUAAUAACAACAACAACAAUUAAUAUUGAAAAAUUUUUAUUGUUAAUAAUAAAUAGGCAAUUAUCCACCGAUCAUGUGAUCUUUUGGACGUUUUAAAAAAUAUACAAACACUUUUUUCUUUGCAGAAAUCCACCUGAAAUUUACAAAGUGUUUCAAUUGUUCACUGUCAUCUAAAUUUUGUUAGAAUUUUCUUGACGUUGUAAGGAUAAAAUUGUUAUUUUUACCUUGACUUCCAAAGAGGAUGUCUUUCAAACAUGAUGAAAAUAAAAAAAAGGAUAAAAAAUUAUCUGUAAACUAUCUGAUCUUUUAGCCAUUAUACAAAAUAUUAAAAAAAUAUACGAACAUUUUUUAUUUUUUUCAACAAUCCAUCUGAUAGUUAUGAAGUGCAUUAGUGCUCCACUACUAUCAUAACCCUUUAAAAAUAUCGCUUAAACACGAGAACCUAUUGCCUAAAAUUAUUUUUCAAGAAAAUGUAACUACAGAUUUGGUUUUGAUCUUCAUGACUUUUAAGUGUACAAGAACAAGAUGAACGAACCUUUGUCGAGUUGAUGAAUUAAGAUAAAUCAAUUACAAAUCGAGAACAAACUUACGGGUGACAUUUUAGUAUUAAGCAAACUAUAAUUGAUCAUCCAAUGAUAGGCUUAUUUUCAAUUAAAUUAGAGUAAAGAUAGACAUUCCAAAUUUUUUCUCUCAAAUUUAAUCCUAGAUAAUGUGUUAUUAAUUGAGUGCUUGGUAAUUCUUUCAAGAUCUAAGUGAAUUAAUUAUAUUAUCUCUCCAACCAAUUGAUGAAUAUUAUAUUAUUUGAGAUAAUUUUUUUUUAUCUCAAAUCCCAGCAAAGAAAACAGAACAAACGGAGCAAAAAUAUUUUUAGAAACCUAAAAUAACAAAAAAAAACUUUUUCUUGUUUUUCUUAUUUUCCACUGUUAAACUUCAAAAUGAACAACUUUAUUCUACCAUCUCUCAAAUAAUAAUAAUAACAACAAUGUCAUCAUCAUCAAUAAUAAUAAUAAUAUAUUAACUUUGUAGGAUGGAGCUCUCGCAAAUCUUCAAGACACAAAAUGUGCUUGACCCCAUUGUUGUUAUUAUAAUUUCAAAAUCAUCUGUAUUAUAUAAUAUUAGGGAAUAUGACAUAGCAAAAUUGAUGGUACAUAUGUUGCAAUAUACUUGUUCAUGUGGCGACACAUUGAAGUAAAGCACAAGCAAAACAACGAAAAAUGUAACGGGAGAGCUCUCAUUAUGUAGAUUUUCAAUAGAAGUAAUGCAAAUUUCACAAGGGCAAUGGCCUUAUUUCGAAUGCUGCACCUGAGGAAUGACUUGAAUCUUCUUUAGAACUCAAGCAUUCUGUAAUCAUAGGGUAUAACAUUUCAACAAAAAUAUUAUAUAGGUCGUUCCUUUAUAUAUUUUCUGGGUACACAUACAGAAAUAUUAUUUUAGGUACAUUUCUCACAAUAAAGCCUGCCCAAUCUAGCAUUUUCGUAAGUUGGGUUUCUUAUUUACAUGUUUUUUCCAUUGGUUAAUUAUCACAAACCUCCACUGAGAUUUAGCAUGUUUUUAGUUUGAUAGAUUGUAUUCGCGUAUUCUCAAAUACCUUUUAGUUUACCACUUCGUAUAAAUUAAGUUGGUGAGGAUAAAAUCAUAAAAGUACACAUUAAUGAUAAAAAAAUUCAAGUAAACUUGAAAUUUUCAAGGGGUAAUUUUUCGGGACCUCCCCUGAGGUUCGGUGUAUUAAAAGUCUCAUAGAAAGUAUUCAUGUAAUUAUAAGAACCUCCCCUGACGUUAGUACACAGUUAACUUGACUGUUAGUGGACUGAUAAAAAGUCAAAAAUGCCAUUGGCUACAAAAAUGAGUGCAACAAUUUGGAGUUAAAUAGUAAACACCACAUUGGAGCACUAAAAAGUCUAUAAUAAUCAUGGAAAAAAAUCAUUGACAUUUACAUAAUAUAAAAAAAAAAAGUAAAAUAUAAAUUAAGAAAAUCAACAAAAUUGUCAACGUAUAGAAUAUUUACAGCAGCAGUGGCUAUAAAUACAACCGUCGUCAAAUUAAAAUAUCACCAUUAGUAAACUACUUCAAUAAGACAAUAAACCAUGAUUCACUCUUCAAAGCAUUCAAAAUACACAACCCGCACAAUAGAAUCACAUACGCACACCUGCUAAUGAAAUAUAAGAACAAACAGGAAAUUGAACUGACAUGGCUAAGAUACUCCUUCCCCAUAGCUAUUAGAAAGAUAAUGAGCGAUUUAUGAAUCAUGAUGCUUGCUUUACUUUCUGGCAGUGUUAGCUUCAAAUUCAAUGAUAGUAAAUGAACAAUGGUUCAUUCAUUAUGAAAGUAAGUGUAAAGCUAGGAAUUUAUAAUAUUCAGAUGUUGGAAUUGGAAAAAUAUUCCUUAAUCGUUUCAAUUGAAGCCAAGGAAGAAAAGAAAUGAGUCUUCUUUUUUCAGGAGACAAGCCAUAUGAAGAAGGCAGACCAGAGCAUAAGAACGAAUGCUACUGCCACAGUAAAAGCCUGGAUCAAUGGGUAAUGGUACCUGCCAUGUCAAUUUCAAGACAAACAAAAAUCAAUUAUCAUCCCCAGACCACAACACCACCAAACCAACCUUUUGAAUCUAAAAUAACAAGUUAAUAAAUCAAAGAUUUCAAUUCAUUUAAGUUUGAAAUCAACUAAAAUAGAAAAAAAAAACCCAAUUUCUUUUUUGUUCAAUAUAACUCAUUCAGCAUCUUCUUCAACACAUUUUUAUCAUUCUUCAUCAUCACAACAAUAAAAAGAAAAAAAAAACAUUGAGUCCAACAUGCAAGUUUUUUUUUUGGGAAACUAACCGUUUUUAGGUUCCAAUUCUAGUAGUCUUAAACAGUAGCCGCCGACGAAAUUCGCUUGGCGACACCCUUUUGCCACCAUUGCAGCUUGUCAUGUUCAUACUCAGCUUAAAAUUACUUGAAGGCAGCAGGGAUUUUAUAGUUACAAAAGUUUCUUCAGAGCUUUUCAAGCUUGAAAAUGGCUGAGAGUUUCAUUUCAUGAGAGAGAAAAUGGAGUUUUCAUUCAUCUUAGAUAAAUUGAAGAUAAUUUGCAUUGUGGGUAAUAAAUUGAUUGUCAGUGCCUAAAUUUGGGUCAUCGACACAACUUUGGAAUUUUUUUUAUUUUUCUUUGAUUUUUAUUAUGAAACUACUAAUUUACCCUCAUAUACUAACAUAUAUGAAAUGGCAUACUAACGUCAGUUAUGUCAAGCAGCUCCCUGUAAUUACGUGAAUAUUUUUCAUGAGACUGUCAAUACACAAAAUCUCAGGGGAAAUCCCUAAACAUUACCUAAUUUUUAAGUUGUGUUCUGAAAUUGGUCUCAACUUUGUAAUGUGUAAUGCCCACAAAAAAAGAAAAGGAAAAAUGGUCAUCUCUUUCCUCCAUUCGAACUGAAGCCAUGAAACGCAAUAUCCCUUUCAUCUUCUCUCUAAUGCUUUGAUUAAAAAACUUGCUUACGAACGGGAGACCAUGACACUGAAUCCGAAGACAGAAAUACCUGAGAUGACUGAUUCACGCCGGCGAUGUGGAAGAAUACCGACCAGUGACUUUCGCCGUCGACCCACAAACAAUCCCAGUGUUUUCGAGCCGCGAAUGAGGUAUGAAUAAGAUUAUUUCCGUGCGUGUCAGUUUUGUAAGGAGAUUUGAUUAAAAAAAAGAAUAAUGGGUCUCGAAAAUUUUUUGAGUAUUUCUGUUGCUUAAAUUUUUUUCCAUCGAUUAAUGUUAGUUGUAGGUGAAUGAUUGUUGCAAACGCAUGUUCGCUUGUGAUUGAUUGAAAAUGACUUGUUAUUUGUUAUGCUGCCAUGUGACUCAUUGAAAAUGCCUCUGAAAUUUUUUUAUUUGUUUAAGGUACUGAUUCUGAUUAUUGAACAGGGAUUCAUGCUAGUUUUUAUUAAAUUAAAGAUGAGAUUAUUUUUUAAGAGAUCUACCAAACCUUCUCUACUAUAGAUUUGGCUUCUGACAUACCUGGUUCGCUGGAGAUAAUUGUUUAUAUAGUCAUUGCUGCUCGUAUUAAUCAGGAACAUUGAUUAGCAAUGUACUGGAAUAGAGAUUGGUAUAAUUUUGGAAAAUUAGUCGUAGAUGCAACCUGAUUAUGGUCUCAAAUAGUGUGAUCUGUCAAUUCCGUUUGCUCUAGCCUAACAACCUUGAAUCUGAGCUAUGCCACUAUACAAAGUCCUGACCUAAUCAAGCUUGUUAGCCAAUGUCCAAAAUUGCAGUGUCUUUAGAUAAGCCCUGUCUUACUUGUUUGAGUUAUAAAUGAAAAUUGAAGUGUCUUUGGAUAAUCACGCUGAAUGUUCAAGUUAUUGAAGAGAAGGGACCCCCAGAUUCAAGGCCGGAGCUCCCUGUUGAGAAGCUUUACAUAUAUGGGAUUGUCGCUGGGCGGAGGAUCGAUAUGCCCGGUUUUGUUUGGAAUAGGGAUGAAGAUUUUGCAUUGAGGCUUUCUUGAUAGAUCAUUCUGCAAAUCAAGCUCCAUGUACCUAUCUUCAGACUCUUGGAUAUGUAUAAAGCAGGUGCAUGCUCUAUAUGUUACUCAUUGUAUCACGAUUAUUUUUCUAUUGCUUAAAAUAAUUGCAGUCCUUGAUGUAGUUGGAGACAACUUAUGGAGGGUAUACAGAGGCUCGAGAGUUUGAUUGCCAUUCAUUUGACACUUGGCUGAGCUACAGCAUACCAACUAGUGAUUAAUAAAGAGAAGGUAUGAAGGUCCUGUUGCUGGUGGUAUUAUCAAUCAGAAUUGUUAUUUUACUUAGUCAUAGUUACCAUGUAUAAGAUUCGUAGACUUUUUGCAUGUUUAUGCAUUCGCAUCAUCUUUUUGUUAAGCUAGAGAUGGUUGAUUUGUGUACUCAUUUGUAUCACUUGUAGCCCUUGAGGAAUAAAAUUUAAAAUUUUGUUGCAUCUCCUGUACUAAAUACUAAUUUUGUUUGCUUUAUGUAUGGGAAAUGGUUCAUUAUCUUAUUUCUUUGAUGUGUAUAGUGUUACACUGUCUAAAGUUGAAAAGUAUUUCUAUCACUUGUGUAAAAAACAAACAAUUUUUUUUUCACUCUUCUUAUAUUGAAUAAAAGAAGGACACCAAGAUCUUCACCAAGAUUGAACGAAAUUUGAUGCAGAAAGCAUAGCAAUUAGGCCAGUGCAAAAUAGCUUCCUUCUGAUUCUCUGAUAUUUGACUUAAAUCUUUUGUUUGUUUCAUUCAUCAAAGUCAUUUUGGAAAGUAGCAGGCGUGAUUUGAUAUUUUCAUUGUAUUCACAUCCGUUGGCACCAAAACAAACAUGCUGGUACUAACCAACAAUUUUUUAUUUUUAGUGUACAAAUUAUUAUUUUUAAGACAAAUAAGCUGGUACUAACCAACAAUAUUUUAUUUUCAGUAUACAAAUUAUUAUUUUUUUUUCUAAAUUAGGGGUAUUAAGAAAAGGUAUGCUAGCACCAGGGGAGGUAUUUGAAAAUAUACAAAUACAAUCUAUCAAACUGAGAAUACACCGAACCGGCAGGUUUCUGAUAAAUCCUUUUUUUCUUUUUCCUCCAUUCACUAUAGGUUCAAUUUAGACGCUGUUGACCAAACAGAAGGUUUGGGUUGGUAAACGCACUGGUGUUAAUGCCAACAACCCAAGGGGCUUCAUGGUCCUCUGGGCCGAAAUAGCGUAAUUAUUAAUUCUCCUCCAGUGAAAAUCUUCAUCUUGGGACAAAUAAUUACGAAUUGACAUUAUAGCUGUGGAAAUUUGGAGGUGUAAUAACCGGAAAAGUAAAAAUCUUAAGAGACUUUUUAAAUAAAAAAGAUACAACACCUUCAAUUUGCUAAAAGUAAUGGUAUCAUUUCUUGUACGGAUAAUGGAUGAUUAGAUUUUGUUUUUUGUUAUCCGACGAAGGAUAUUCAGUUGUUCUUUAUGUGUUCACAGGCAAGAGCAUGAGCAUAUUCAUGGUUUCAUAUAUGCUUCUUGCAUUUUCUAAUUAAGUACUCUCUUUCCUUGCCUUCUUAGUUUUGAAAGAAAGAUGUGAAGCAAAGCAAACCCAGUGAAAUAUACAGAGAAACAGAACCAUCAGAGGAAAAACUAAAUAACAGAACCACAAUUGAACCAAACAAAAUCAAAUAAACCGAGGCAACGGAUACCCUGAAUCAGGCAUCCCUUUUUCUCGAAAGAAAAUAUGUUUGCAUGGGUGGGAACCUAAUAAUUACUCAAGAGUUGGAGUUGGAAAGAUUUGGUAUUCAUAUCUUCACAAUUCAUAAGCUUUAAUGCAGAAUCGACAGCUUUAUAUUAAUUUAUUCAACCAAAAACGAUAAAGUAGGAAAACCACAAUAAUCCACCAACUUUUGCUACUUUUAGGAAUAAUUUUUAGUCAACUUUCAAAAAGUGAGAUGACGAUCUUUGAGUUGAUAAAUCUUGGCCUGCUGCUUAGUACCCUUCCAACAUAUAAAGUACUAGAUGUUUAGCUGAGAAAAUGACGAGAUCAUUUAUCAAAUUUCUUGCGCAUAUAUACAUAUAUAUACAAGAAAUAAGAAUCAGAGUGAUUAUAAGACCUUGCAAUGAGGCAAUAAUACAUCAUCAAAUCUAAAAAUACACAAGAAAUUCGUGACGUAUAUAUAACAAUAGACCUCUCAUUGAGUCAUACAUAUUGAGAAUAAAAUGUCAAAAUGCAUACAAAGAGCUUAUACAGAAAAUGAAUUUACACACAUUUAGAAUAAACUGUCUUUGAACUUCCGAUGGUCAAACAAAGGAAACAGACAGGAAAUGACACACACUAUCAUAUAUGUAGCGACACGAUGAAGUAAAUCACAUGAAGAUGGAAACGGAACCCCUCACAACAUAAAAUUUGAAUAAAGGGGGAAAAAAAGGCUUCAUUUCAAAUGUUGCACAGAAGAAGAGUGACUUGAAUCUCCAUCAAUAUCCAAACAUUCUGCAAACAUAGUGCUGAGAAUUUUAACAAGAAUAACUGUAAUAUCCCAAAUCUCCUAAGGGUAUUUAAGUCUUUUUAAUUUUUAGUGAUCCUUUUUACCCUAGUAUAAAUAGAACAAGAUGUCUUUUUCAUUAUAAGAGAGAGAGAAAAAGAGAGAUCGGUUGAAAAAGAGAGAUGGAGAGACAAGAGAGAAAAGAAAAGAAAAAAAGAGAAGAAGAAAGUCUUCUUCUUCUUCUUAGUUUUUGCCAUAGACAACACAUGGGAUCAAGUUGUUAUUGUUGGGAGAAGUUUUGGAGGUACGUUUUAAUUAUUGGUUUCUAUUAAAUUGUUGUGGAGAAGCAUGAUUGUAAUAGAAGUAGAAAUCAAAGAUUUUACAUAAAUAUGCUGACAGCGAAUUAUUACAGAAAUCAUAGUAAUUUGUACAAAUUGAUUUUGAUUCUGAUUUUUGGGUAUGUUAAACUAGACAUCGUCUAGAAUGUUUUGAAACUUGUUUCAAGUUAAUCGGAUAAGAUUUCAAUUAAUUAUGAUUUUUCAAAUUCAAGUCUGAAAACCUGGAAAUUUAUGAUUUCAGUGAAUAACGUGAAUUACGAAAUUAUUUUUACCAUAGUUAGACUUCUUCAAAAAUUAUGAAAUUUGGACCAAUGCUUUUUAUAUAUGUCUAGUAUGAUUCUGGAAAUUUUCAUGAUUUUAUGAUAAAGCAAUAAAUUGUUUUGUAUUUGUAAAGCAAGUGUGUUCAAAACAGAAAACUGUUUGACAGUAUUGAUGAUGUCUGAAACGUGAAUUAUUUUCAAUAGUUUUUGAAGGAAUUAUGUUAUGAAUUAUGCUAAUCUUCUCUGUAUCGUUCCAAUUUUAUUGGAUGGGAAUUGCUCUGAUACCAUUUGAAACACCCCAGUCCGAAAUCCAAGGGCAAAUAUGUCCACAACUCACAUAUGAUUUAAAUAACUCUUUACAACUGAUAAAAUUCGAGCCUCAAAUACAAAAGCCAGCGGAAUAACUUAAAAACUUAACCAAACCAUCUACUAUCCUCAAUUCAAAACCAUCUUCUCACUCAUCACGAAUCAAUCCUGACUUCUGAAAAUUGAAUCACAAUAAACUAUAAUGAGUACAAAACCCAGUAAGCAAACUAGUUUUUCUUAUACGGAAAAUACAUACAGACUUAUACAUAAUGCAAUGGUUGAUAUGUCAUGAUCUUUUGGAAAUACUGUAAAAUAAAUUCAUAAAAAUCUCUUUCUGUCGCUUUCAAACUUUCUUAUUUUCUUUCGAUGAAAUACGUAUCCUACAAUGUGGCACUUUGUGCUGUACGUGGCACUUUGCGGCGCCCUGGCCCUCAAGAGGUGGCCCCCGCAUAGUCCCAAGAGGUGACCCCCACACAACUUCAAGAGGUGGCCCCCAAUGCAAAAUCUCAUAAAACAUAAAUUCUGUUUGCUAAAAUCCACUUUCUCAUUCGUAGAAAACUCAAUGCAUUUUCGUGCUCAUGCCAAUGAACCAUCACACAUACAUAUGCCCAUGUACAUAAUCACGCUCAACACAUGCCAACACAUCACAUAAACACAUGGGCAAAGACAUCUAAAUCCAUAUCCGUAUAUAUAUCAAAAUAUGCUUUUCACACAAGUCAAACAUAUAUAUUGUUUAGUGUGAUUCGUUUUAAAGUCUAGUUUACUUACCUCUUGGCAUCCUCAUGUAACAAAUGCGUACUGAUACCAUUAACCUAAAAUCAUCAAUAACGCCUCAUAAGAUAUAAUCAAAUCUCAAUCACAAACUGUAAUGUCCUCAAAUAUCUCAAUUUAAACAACUCCUAAGCUCAACCUCAAAUGUCCUCAAUAAUCGGCCCUCAAAACAUAAAUCCUUUACAAAUACUCUUUAUCAGUUGUAAAGAGUUAUUUAAAUUAUAUGUGAGUUGUAGACAUAUUUGCCCUUGGAUUUCAGACUGGGGUGUUUCAAAUGGUAUCAGACCGAUUCCCAUCCGAUAAAAUUGGAACGAUACAGAGAAGAUUAGCAUAAUUCGUAACAUAAUUCCUUCAAAAACUAUUGAAAAUAAUUCACGUUUCAGACAUCAUCAAUACUGUCAAACAGUUUUCUGUUUUGAACACACUUGCUUUACAAAUACAAAACAAUUUAUUGCUUUAUCAUAAAAUCAUGAAAAUUUCCAGAAUCAUACUAGACAUAUAUAAAAAGCAUUGGUCCAAAUUUCAUAAUUUUUGAAGAAGUCUAACUAUGGUAAAAAUAAUUUCGUAAUUCACGUUAUUCACUGAAAUCAUAAAUUUCCAGGUUUUCAGACUUGAAUUUGAAAAAUCAUAAUUAAUUGAAAUCUUAUCCGAUUAACUUGAAACAAGUUUCAAAACAUUCUAGACGAUGUCUAGUUUAACAUACCCAAAAAUCAGAAUCAAAAUCAAUUUGUACAAAUUACUAUGAUUUCUGUAAUAAUUCGCUGUCAGCAUAUUUAUGUAAAAUCUUUGAUUUCUACUUCUAUUACAAUCAUGCUUCUCCACAACAAUUUAAUAGAAACCAAUAAUUAAAACGUACCUCCAAAACUUCUCCCAACAAUAACAACUUGAUCCCAUGUGUUGUCUAUGGCAAAAACUAAGAAGAAGAAGAAGACUUUCUUCUUCUCUUUUUUUCUUUUCUUUUCUCUCUUGUCUCUCCAUCUCUCUUUUUCAACCGAUCUCUCUUUUUCUCUCUCUCUUAUAAUGAAAAAGACAUCUUGUUCUAUUUAUACUAGGGUAAAAAGGAUCACUAAAAAUUAAAAAGACUUAAAUACCCUUAGGAGAUUUGGGAUAUUACAAUAACAGACAAAAUAUUGUGCUUAUAUACUUUUCACAAAACUAGACCAAAUCAGUUCCCUUUUUGGUUUGUGAAAACUUGAUAUUUUUGAAAAUUCUAUCCAAUGCUUUCAAACAAUAUUUCCACAAUAUAGUUGUUCAUAGCUAACCUUUGAUGGUGUAAGGAUUUGUUGUAGGCAUAAUGGGCUAAUUAUAUAUAUAUAUAUAUAUAUUUUACCCGCUGAAUGAUAUUCAGCUUCUUAAUUAUGUGUUCAUAGGCAAGAGCAUUUUCUUAAGUACUUUCGUUGCCUUCCAAGUUUCCAAAGAACAAACAGAGCAGAAACAAAUAUAACGGAACAGCAAUGAUGACAAUAAAUGAUUGGCAAAGAAAGAAAGAAAAAAGUUCGCAUGAUUUCAAGGAAUUAUAAUAUCUGAAGACAUUCAACAUGCAAGUGUUGCCCCUUUUAAUGAAAUUUCAUCAUAAAAUGCUUGCAAGGAAUUAUAAAAUUUUAGAGAACAAGCGAAUUCUCAAACAAAAUACUCAAAUUAAAUUAAAUUAGACCAAAAGACAAUCAAUGACGCAAAAUCUUCCCAUAAAAGCCUGAACGAAUCAUGAAAAGUGCAUUCCAUAUUGACAGUAAACCAAGUGACCCAUUCUAAACAAUUGAGAUGAAAUUGUGAAACAACCCACGAGAUCAAAUAAAUAAAAUAAGAAUUAAUUACCAGCUGGGACUUUCUUCUUCAAAUUCGUAACUCCAAGUCAUAAGAAGCCUAUGAAAUUAGUCGUAAUCCACAGAGUAUGACGACGACCCCGCCAACAGCUGAAAAUAAAAUUCUUAUUCAUUAAUUUAAACUAACUUUAUAACAAAUAUCUUAUCGAUAUUUUAUUUAAAAAGAAAAAGCAAAUUUUGUAAAAUUUUUCCAUGGGAGAUAGAGAGUAACAUGUAUAUCCGUACCUUCUCAGCAUGUAAUUGUUGUAUGGUCCUGUUAAGAUCAUUAUUAGCCCAGCGCCGUUGAAAACCCGCUGUCUCUCCAUACCAGACAUUUACUCUAGGAGGCGUGCUUGAUUCUCCUGUAGUGAAAAUCUUCAAUUUGGGACAACCAAUCACCCACAACGCUUGCAAAGAUGGGAAUUUGAAGGUGUAAUUGGCAGAGGAAAAACUUGUGAGGCUAUCUAAAUCACUCAGUUCCAACGUCUUCAAUUUGCGGAAAACAAUCUCUUUACUGCUCUGCCCCCACAUAAUAAAGUAGCAUUAGAGUACUAGACAAGCUCACCACGUCUAAGCUAAGCGGAGAAUAGACUUCAUCAACAACGCUUUCGUGAAUAUGUGUUGCAUUACAACGCUCCAAUGUGAUCCUCAUCCAAUACCCAUUAUUUGUGAUCCUUAUUCCACUGCGUCAAUUACACUCCAGUCCAAUGCUGCCAUCAUUAUCGAACAGUCGAUAUCCAACACUUGCACGAAGAUUCCAAGAGGUUGCCUGGCUGCUGACUUUUAAAUGCUAAGCCUUAUUGUGUCCAUGAUACACCAAACAGAGCAGUCCCGGGUAAUUGCCAAAACUUAGAACUAAACAGUAGCUCAGGUCAGAAAAUCAAAUGGAGUGAUGAUAAGAAGCUGAGGCACACCAAUCGAUUGCCUAAGCCUAACAGCAGAUUGGAGGAAUAUGCAUGGACACAUGCGGCUCGACGUCCACGCCAUGCAACACGUGCAUGAGUAGUGUAAGGCACGUGAGAAUUGAUUUGCUAUUAAUUGGGAGCUGAAUAAUUGAUGAUUUGGAGCUGACCUUUUCAAAAGUUGUUGCUGAUUUGGAAAGGAUCUCACGCAUGAGUUGUUCUUUUCUUUGAUUUGAUAUUUAUUCCAAAAUAAUAAAAGUUGUUUAAAUCAAUAUUAACAACUCGAUCUUGUAAGCUUUGAUUAAGCCUAACUACACGCUACAAAGCAUAAUAAUUAGUUUUGCAUUACAACUAUAAAUAAGCUCCAUCAGUGAAUAAAAUCAUCAUCAGACUUUUAUCCAAACACUACUAGCAAUUGUGGUAGUUCUCACUCUAAGAAGAACAAAUUAUUCACUUGUUAUUUCUACUAAUUCUGACUGGGACCUAUCAAGAUGAAACCAUAAAAUUUGAUUUUAUUGUAUGGUUGAUUUCAUAUCUCUUGCAGUCAUUUCUUAAGAUAAUCAAAUUUUCUCUGGCAUCUUUUGCAACUGUAGAAAUAUCAAUUAUGAUCAAUCAAAACGAUUUCAAAACCUUUCAAUGAGACAUAUUUAUAAUACAAUAUUGUGAAAAUUACACCAAAAUUUUUAUUUAUUAUAUAUUAUUAUCCAACGAGUACACACAAAUGAAUUCGUACAAAUCUAAAAUACUUAGCAAUUUUCAAAUAGAAUUUACCAUGUACUACAAGAAAAUAUGGUAUAUGUGACCCCUAAUGUGAAUGGAAAAGCAGCCAUUACGUAUAUCACUAACUUUGUAACCCCGAUACCUUUUAUGUGACGGCCACACUGCGGUCGCAUAUGUUACUAACCACGUGACGGUAAAGAGCCGUUCGGUAUGCUACUAUUCGCUGGACUCCGUGUUACUAGCCACCAUCGUAUAAUUUAAUCUCCCUUCAUCUUUUGAGUUAAGCUUGUGAUUAUGAGUUUCUUCUGUUACUUAGCUUGUAAUUAUAGAUUUUGAUUUUUUUUUAAUUCGUAUUGUAGCCGUUAUUGUCAAUUUUUGUCCCGCCAGCAAUUUUUUUUUAUUCCUACAAGUUGAAGCCCCUGUGUUCUUGUUCCAUUGGUGAGUUUGCUCACUCAAAUUAAUUUUGUUCUGCGGAAUUUACAAAGUUCAAAUGGAUUCAUUUGAAUUACUAUUGAAUUUAGCUUUAAUUCCAACAUCCAUUCUAAUGUUUUGCUAUUAGAUUUAGUUUAAUUUUAUGUUUAAAGCAUCUACAAUGAAUAGCGGAGCUUGGGUUUUAGUUUCAUUUUCUGGAUAACUUGUUUUAGUUUAUCUUGUAUGCUCACCAAGUGCUUGUUAUAUUGUCUGAUAAGUUAUAUACAUUGCUGAUUCUAUAUUAAUAAUGUUACGUUCUAUUUUCAGAAAUUAUAAUACAAAAGGUUUUACAAUGGCGUGCAUCUACAAACUGAAUUGACUUGUAGAAUAAGAGCUUGGAGUAAAUGAAAGUUCAUAUUGUGUAAGAGCAUGUAGAUGUAAAGCAUCAUUACCAUAUCUACAAAGUGCUUUCAUUAUGUUCAGAUGCUCUUCUUGAACUUUGAAAGGUGCCUCGUUCAAGUCCUAGCUAUAACUACUAGC
rnacentral:lncRNA from 1 species